rnacentral:rRNA from 1 species
GGGUCAGUAGGUUGGUCGUGCCACCGGUACGUACUGGUCUCACUGGUUCCUCCUUCCUGAAGAACCGUAAUGCCAUUAAUUUGGUGUUGCGGGGAAAUAGGACUGUUACUUUGAAAAAAUUAGAGUGUUUAAAGCAAGCUAACGCUUGAAUACAUUAGCACGGAAUAAUGAAAUAGGACGAUCGAUCCUAUUUUGUUGGUUUCUAGGAUUGACGUA